UACGAGUGCCCCGAGCGUUAUCCGGAAUCAUUGGGCGUAAAGGGUGUGUAGGUGGUAAUGUUAGUCAGCUGUUAAAACCUGGGGCUCAACCCCAGAUCUGUGGCUGAAACGGCAUAACUAGAGGAUGGCAGGGAUGUAUGGAACUCAUGGAGUAGGGGUGAAAUCCGUUGAUAUCAUGGGGAACACCAAAAGCGAAGGCAGUACAUUGGGCCACUCCUGACACUGAAACACGAAAGCGUAGGUAGCGAAUGGG
rnacentral:rRNA from 1 species